GUGAUAACGUCUCUGAGCUUGUAACUGCUAUUCUAAUUAGGAAACCACGAAGUAUACAAGAGAUCAGGAAUUUCCCUGACAGAAAAUGUGGUGCCGAAACCUGUGACAUGGCGACUGUUGUUUCUCUGGACCAUGAGUAAGGUGACCCUCCAGUGACUGUGAAAUACUUUGCUGAAGCAAGGUAAGAAGCCUUUAUUAUAAAAAAAAGAUUUGUCGUCAUUUUCUUUCUCUUUUUUCAUUUUUUUUUUUGUGCUUAGUAUAUUUAAACAAUCUUACAUUGCCACGACAGCAGAUGUAAGCAUUUGAAUAUACAUAGUAGAACAAUUGCAUGGGAAACAAUUUUCCGGCACAUUUUUGUAGUAUUAAUAGUAGAUGAGAACAGUGAAGCUGAACUUUGUGUAAAAGAACAUUAAAACAGACUAUCACAGGCUGAUCUAAAGGUAGCUCACAUGUACCAUCAGGGAUGUAAAACCGGUUCAGACUUAUGUGAUAGGAAGCUUAACCCCGUGGUGAGGAAUCUGAGCUAGAGUAUAGAUUUUAACAUCCCUAAUAGGAUAACAUAUUCAAAACUAGAGUGCAAGAUUUAUGUAAAACCACAGCAUUUUUGUUCAUGAUCUGCUACACUGCAUGGCAGAGAGGCUGCAACAUAAUAAUAAGCAAGUAGUACUCUUAGGAUAAGUUUAGUCCCGGGAUCUGUACAUGGCUUUCAUCCCACGCCAUGUCUUGUGACUUGAUUAUUCAGUCCUGGGUUGAGGCAGAGAAAGGGACUGAGCAGGGUGUUGUCUAGUUGUGUGGAAGCCGCAGCGUUUUUUGCCAGCUCUUUCAACUCGAGUGAAUGUGUGGUGCCUAUCACCGCAGGUCAUGGGGUGCUCUCCACUCCGUUGUUGCUGGGUUAGCUGCUGUGGUGGUGAAGCUAUGCUGCACAAAGCUGAUCCAGGGGUGUUAGCAGCCUGCCACCAUGAAGUAUGUAGUCAGCGUUGUUUGUAGGAGCUGUUGUGAUGCUGGCAGCCGCCAUCUUAGGUAAGCAGAGUUUCACUGCUUCCUCCAGCCUGUGCCCAUCCAGUAGGGUUUGUGUGUGUAGGUCCAAGCUUGUAGCGAUGCCGUUGUGGACCGGUCUGACCCCCUCCAGUGCAAAGGGGGGUGGGGAGUAUCUGUGAUGCCCUACAGGAUCAUCUGCUUGGCCGCAAAAUGGACCUAAGAAUUAGAGGGUUAUAUGUGUACUUUGGUGGUUGUAAUGUCGUGUCCUGACUGGUUGCAGACUGCUGAAUUGUUUUGCCUAUUACAGAUAAUUGUUAUUACAUUUCUGGUAGUCUAUCUUCGAACCAAGUUGAAGGUAGCUAAAGGACAAUCCCCUGGUUUACUGAUGUGAUGUAAGAAAAAGGAUUCUGAUAUUUUUUAUUGCCUGUAUUGUUAAUUCCUCGGCAGGGCUCAUUAAUACAAGUUUUUUGUAUUGUAAGUUGAGGCAAUUAACAGGACUUGCUGAUUAAAGCAAGAUGUGAAAUACUGAGAGUACUCCCAGAGGGGAUUUAGGUCCGGAACAGACAGACAGCCAAACAGAUUGUAAAAGACUACCAGGGUAAAAAUGCAGUCACAGGAGUCAAACAUAUGUUAAAGAAAGCAGGCAUGACUCUUGAAGGCAGUUUAGAUUUCUUAUUGUGACAAAGCUUUAACAGCAAUUGUAAGGCUUGGCUCACAGAUAAUGGAUUAGUGGGAAGAUACUUCUUUAAAAGUCACCCAGGCAGGCUGUAGGGAGACUAUCAGGUGAGGCAUACCAUAUUAUCAGUGCUAUACUGAUCUCAAUAACACGCGCACAACCCCUCCAGUUAGUGAGGGGGCAGCAGCCACUGAAGCCCCACUGCCUUAUCUCACCAAACAACCCCUGCAGGGUCCUGCUCCAACACCCACCCAUGGUCCACAUGGCUGGUGAAUAUGCCCUCAGUGUCACUGGAAUAACCCAUGGUGGGAAGAGAAGUGUAGAACUUGUAGGUUUACUCACCCCCCCUAUCCACCAUAGACACCCAGAACAUGUGCCCCUGAUGCCAGUACAGCUCCAUAGGGUUUGGUCGCCAGGACUAGUGUACCCCAACUUAAUCUAGACCAAUCUGUAGCAGGAGACACAGAUGGAGCACCCUCAAUCUCCACUCCUGCACUGGGAGCUGCAGUGAGUACCCCCCUUGCACCACUCACACUCCACCUUUGGACUUGGCUUGAAUAUAACCCUGGACCCCUUCAGACCAGCUAGCCAUGCUCAAGCAAUUACCAGACCCUGAAGUCCUGCAGGAACGGUGUUCCAGCACUUUUUUCACAGCAGAAACGCCGUUCCCUUUGCUCCUGUAGACACUAUAGAGGGGGAGACAAAAAAAUGCCACCCCCAAAUGUCCCCGUCUUCCCCCUGUCAUGGGGGCCACCUGAUGGAACUCCCCCCCCCCGGGUGUGUAUGAGUGUAUGUGUAUGUAUGAGUGUAUGGCUGUUAGUGUAUGUUGGUUAGUGUAUGUGAGUGUGUAUGAGUGUAUUUACAUCUGUUAGCGUACAUACGUGUCUGUGUAUGAGUAUGUGCAUCUGUUAGUGUAUGCAUCUGUAUGUUUGUGAGUGUCUGUCAAAUCAGGGAGAGUCUGUUUGUCAUUUAGUGUGACUAUUAGUGUGUGUUUGCGUGUGUCUCUCUGUCAAUGAAUGAGUGUGUGUCAAUGAAUGUGUGUGUGUCAAAUCAGUGAAAGUGUGUGUGUCUGUCAUUGAGUGUGUUAUUGUCAGUGUGUAUCUGCCAGUGUGUGUCAGUGAAUGUGUGUGUGUCUGUCAGAGUGUGUGCUUAAAGGGACACUAUAGGCACCCAGACAACUUCAGCUCAUUGAAGUGGUCUGGGUGCAGUGUCCCAGUCCCCUUAAACCCGCAAGUGUAAUUAUUGCAGUUUCUCAGAAAUUAUCUUGAGUGGUAACUCCACCUCUAGUGGCUGUCUUGACAGCCACUAGAGGGACUUUCAGGUGGUUAGGUGACCAAAAGUUGACUAACUGAUGCUGGACGUCCUCACGCUGUGCAUGAGGACAUCCAGCAUCUGCUAAAUACCCAUAGGAUUUUAACCCCUUCAGUGUUGAGUAGGGCAGAGGAGGACACGAGACACUAUAGCAUUCCCUUAAAAGGAGCAGGAAAAGGUGGAGUCUAAAGAGGAAGGGGUGGGUUCUUAAUCAGGAAGAGGCGCGCCCUUGACAGGAAGGGGUGGUAAAUUUAGAUUAGGGGAGUGCCCAGGUUUAGUUAUGCCUAGGGCAUCACAAAAUUAAUAUACAUCACUGUGUGAGUGUUUGAGUAUGUGUGUGUGCACGCGUUUAUAUAUGCAUAAGAGUGUAUUUUUUUGGAGGGGGGGGUUGCUGGAUCUUGGUUGAGUUCCCACACUUUUUUCUCCAGGACUUGACCCCUGGGGCCACCUAUUGCUGCACUUGGGCUGACUUGGAAUCCCUCGUAAAGGCAAAGACUGGUCCUGUGAUGGCAUCUGUCCCACUAUAUAACUGCUCUGGAGAAAUGGGCAAAGUAUAGGCUCACUGAUCUCUCUAGUCAGCUCACAGACCUAACCCAAGUUAAAGGAGAGUCAGUAGAACGAUUCUUCGCCAGAUUACACCCGGGAUGCCCUAGCCCAGCGCCUGCUCUGUAAUUGCUUUAUGGAAGGCUUGCUGCCCUCCAUAGCCACAGGUCUAAAAUCAGUACACCCUGAAUGACGUAGUCUCCCUUAUGGAGAUUUGGUAAAGGUGGCAAAGGUAGUUGAGGCUAACCGCCCUCAGAAAGAAAGGAAAACCUAUAUAAUGACCUUCCAGGAAAGGGAAGAGAUGGCUAACAGACAGGUGCUCAAAGAUUGGGUUCCACCUUUUGGAAUUAAGGAGGGAUGGGUCAUAUUAGGAAAGAUUGCAGAUGCCCACCACAAAAGCAGACUAACUGAACACCAGCUGCCCCUCUGGCAAAUGAGACCUCUCUAGAAUAGGAAAUUGGCAACCCUGUAACUGUGCGCAACCUUAAAGUACCUAAUUAUAUGGGUCUGUCUCCAACUAUUAUGGUUUCUCUACCCUGCAUCGGGACCCUGCCAUUUCUGAUAGAUACGGGCGGCAGCCAGAUCUGUUGUGCAUGAAAAAUAUGUGUUUUCCUUUGAAAAAUCCAAUUAAAUGGUUACCUGUGUAGGUGUAGAUGGUUCCCCCACGAAUUGCCCACUCUCCCAUGAGAUAAAAUUACAGUUUCAUGACUCGAAGGCAAUGGUUUCCUGAUUGCUAAUCAGUCACACUGCCCCAGAUAACCUUUUAGGCAGUUAUGUACUGUCAGCAAUCAACGCUAACAUGGUAUAUAACCCAGAUGGUACCAUCUCCUUGACUUCAGCCUUGCAUGAAAACUGUUUGCUUCAGCUUUCCCAGGCAUUGACAAAUACAGUGUUUUAACUCCUGCUCCACCUCUGCCACCAGAGCUAGAUGAAGUUCCCUCCACAUUAUGGGCGUGUUGUGAUAUGGCUUAGGGACAAAGGGCAAGCCUUUUUGGGGGAGGUGUGUGAACACAUGAGGGCUACCCCAUUCAUGUAGAACCAGAGUUAUGAAAAAGAUGAGUAUAUGAGGUGGAGACAAAAAGGAACAAGUGUGGAUACACAAGGUAGAGGCAUGUGAGCCUUCUCCCAUUGCGUCUCUUAUUUGGGGGAGGUGUCACGGCAAGGGUGUAUAAUUUAUUAUUACACUAUGGAAUAUCAUCUUUUAAUGUAAUUUGUGUAGUAAAUGCCACAAAUUACAGAGAUGCUAUUGCUGAGGUCAACAGGGGUUACAUCUUUUGAAGCUGGGACCCCCACAGAGGUCAGAUGACAGAAGGGGUAGUAUGAAUGGCACAGGAAUGUGAAAAGGAUUUUACUAUAUGGAUGUGAAGUAAUCAAUGAUCUGCAAGGUGUGAGGUUCUACACUUGGAAAAAGUCUGAAAGUCUCUUCAUCCAUUUGGCAUGUACCUUGUAAAGGAUAGUUCAAUCAUUUGAAAUGGUAAUGGGAUUAGUUUCAUGAAGAUCCUUGUGUUCCAGUAUCUUAUCCAAUUGAAACAUUCAUACUUACCCACAGGUUAAUAAUUAAGCCUCAUUUUUAUUAUAUUUGGAAUGGGACAAGCCCAAUCUUUUAAUUAAGCCCAAACAUGAGUUGCACAACUUAAACCGUGUGGCAGGACUUGUGAUGUCCGUCCUAUUGGAUCGUGGGCGGGGCGUGCAACAUGUCUUUGGAAUGGGAAAACAAUAACAAAUUCAAAAAGGAAAUUAUUAUUUCUGUGGCAAGUACAGUAGAGGAGAUAAAACCAAAAGUUUGUAUGUGACAUGUUGUUUUCUGGAACAAAGGAGGUGGUCACUUAGUAUCCACCCCUGGAUGACAUUAACAGCAUAUUGACACAAGUAAAGCCAAAACAUAUCCACACUGCUAGACAUCUUAGGAUGCAAUUUGCUUUGCUAAUGCCCUCUAAUAAUACCUUAAAGAGGUGUACUGUUUUAAAUCCAUCUAUAUUACUUCUGCUAGGUUUAACCCCUUAAGGACCAAACUUCUGGAAUAAAAGGGAAUUAUGACAUGUCACACAUGUCAUGUGUCCUUAAGGGGUUAAAAGAGGGGAGUGGUUAUAUGGCUAAUACGAACUUAUUUAUAAACUCUUUAACCUCUGAUGAAAUAGCAGAAGCCCAGGUACCCCAUGAUUGUGCUGCCUUGAUGGCACAAGAAACUGCAGAAACUGUUGUUGAUGGCACAAGAAACUGCAGAAACUGUUGUUGAUAUGCCAUUAUCUAAUCCAGAUUUUUAGUAUUUUGUAGAUGGGUCUCGGUUUGCUGAUGAGAAGGGUAACUUCCAUACUGGAUAUGCUGUAAUCUCUGUACAUGAGGUAAUUAAAGCAGAACCACUUGCUCCUCGCUGCUCUGCAUAAGAAGCUGAGUUGAAGGCUCUCACUGAAGUGGGUAAAUUGGCCUCAGGUAAGACCAUUAAUGUUUAUACCGAUUCCCGCUAUGCCUGUGUUUGCCCAUGGACCUACACAACAAUCAAAAAUGAAUAUGAUAAGCUUGGUAAAUGCACAUUGGAUUGUUCCAGGUUUCACUGUAGCUGCUACAAAACAUACCCAAAGCUGCAUGAUUUGUGCAAGAUACAUUGUAGGUCAGGUAACCCAGUCUAAACAUAUGCCAAGGUCACUUUACCCAUUUCAGAGAUAGGAGUGUAUGUGUUGGUGUGUAUUUAUCUCUUUUCAGGUUGGCCUGAAGCAUACCCAUUAUUGAAGGCCAAAGUAAAAUCAACAGCAAGUAAGCUACUAAAGGAAUUUCAGUAGCCAUUUUACUGGUGAAAUAAUGCAAGAGAUUAUGCAAGCCCUAGGAAUUAUUCAGGCAUUCACACCCCAAACCACCCUCAAAGUAGUGGCAAGGUAGAAAGGGCAAAUUGUACUUGUACUGAAAAAUAAAAUAGCUAAAGCUAUGCAAGAGACUGGCAAACUUUGUACGGAGUGUCUGCCUCUAGUAUUAUUUUCUAUGAGAUUCACACCACAUCCUAGAACUCAAAUUCGUAAAAAGAGAGAAUGGUAUGACACUCUCCUAGGAGCUUCCUAAAUGCUGUAGACCUAGAAGUAGUGAGAAACAAGAUAGCUGGGGCUGGCAAGGAUGUGGAUAGCACCCUACAGCUUGAAGCACAAUGGAUGCCCUCCAUGUUUCUCCCACAAGAAUAUACUUUACAAACUAAACUUAUUAAUCUUAAGGCAGCUCAAUCUCGACCUAGUUCGACACUUAUUUACCAGCUCAUGCCUGGAUCAAAUUAGAUACUGAAUCCCAGGUGUGUAAUCAGACAAGUUGUACAGGCAAAUUCAAAGCUUAUGACAUGAAGCAAUAUAAGAUAAGAUGUGUAAAUUUCUGGUACUACCUGUCAUUUUUGUUCCACCCUUAUAUCCAGCCCAAUAUUGGACUCCUACAUUUUCAGGUGACCUGAUAGACACUAAAAACAUUACCCACCGUAGCUCAAAUUGCAUACAGUCUUCACUGGGACUAAUAUGCGGCCAAUCCUCCAAGAUUGAAGAACCAUGUAUGCUACAACAUUCUGUAAAUGUGUGUGACUGGACAGUUACUACAGGACCACUAGAUAUGUAUAUGGAAAUUGCACCUUUAUAUAUUAUCAUUAUAAGCUCUUAACCAGAUACCACAUAUAUGUGUCACGGUUCGCACCGUGCCAUAGAGACAGCCAGGCAUGGCCAGGUGGCUCUAGGGGGAUUUUAACUGUAGUCCUUUUGUACUUUGGUGCUGCUGUAUUGCCUCUGAGUCACACUUCAGCUCAUUAUUCAGCCUAAUUGUCUAUAUUGCCUUGACCUGUCUGCAGAAUUGAGGGCUGGUAUCUGGUUAUAUGCUUAGCCAGACUCACCUGUCUAGAUUAGCCAGCUGUCACUCAGGAUUACCUAGAACACCCCGCUUGUUAGUAACUUGUUAACAGGGUAUUGAAUCUCCACCUUUUUCAGUAAUCAUUGUCAGUUCCUUGUUUCUGGUUGAAGUAUGAUUCCUGUUAUUUUGUCUCCUGAGCUUGUAUUCUCCAGACUGACCCUGGCUUCUGAUUUUGGCUCCUCUCCUCGUUAUUUCUGACCUCUGGCAUCCUCUGACCACGGCUACACCUUGACUAUCCUUUUGCUUGUGCCCUUGCCUGUACUACGAAUUGGAGCACUUUUCCUGUCAAGGCCACGGAUUCACAGCCCAGGUGGCUUCUUACCUGGUUACCGUGGGCUUUGUUUAUCUGCAAGGGUGAGCGUACAUCUCUGCACUUCGGACUCCCACCUCCAGGUAAGACCCUGACAAUAUGCUAAAUGUCUCUACCCUGUUUGUGGGAUGCUUCAGGAACCUCACCAUGCAUAAGGGGUUCAACACAACCAUUAACUUCAUCCCAGAUGCCAAACUUACCAUCACUUCCACUUGGCAUCCCCAAGCUCUGGACUUUAAACCACAAUCUGUUUCCCUUCAACCUCUCAUUGACAUUAUUAAUGACACCCAUCAUAUGGCAAGACAUCUAAAUAUCAUGAAUCAAUCUCUACAUGAAACAAAGAAACUAACAAUUAUAGUUCCUAUAAAACUUCACAGUAUUGGAAAUAACAUGGGGUGUUGGUUAAUGAAGACCAGAAAAAGGCAGACAUUUAAAAUAACUAUUUCUCCUCUGUAUAUAUUAAGGAAGAGAUAUGCAAAUGAUUGCAGGAAAAAAAAAAAAAGGAGAAAAAUUUUAAUUGGCUAACUCAAGACAAAGUGCUGCAGCAACUAAUUAAAGUAAAUAUAAACAAAGCUCCAGGUGCCGGACGGUAUUCAGCCACGAGUUCUUAAGAAAUUAAGUGUGGAAAUAAGUGAACCUCUUGUUUUUAAUCUUUCGAUUUUCAGCCAAUCGGAUUUGUAAAGGGCUUAUUUAAGCACAAUUUUACUUUUCCUCCUUGCCCUGUUGUGGUUUCCCUGGUGGUUGUCCGAGAGUGUGUUUCUGAGCAUUUAUUUUCUGGUUAUUGACAUUGGCUUUGUUUAACUUCCCUGUAUUCUGGUAUCCCUGACUUUUGGCUUUCCCUCAUCGUGGUGUCUCCUUCUGUGUCCCUGACCUCGGCUAGUAUACUGACUAUUCUUGGGUAUGUUUAGUCCAGCCAUUCUGAGGCCCAGUAAGACGUUACCUUUCAGUCCUGGACUGAAAAGGUGUGACAUAAUUCUACGUGCUGGAUCAACUAGUAAUCCUGACAGUUCCGGUGGAUUGGAGGAAGGCGGAUGUGGUUCCUAUAUUCAAAAAGGGUUCAAAUCAUUGCCUGGAAAUUACAGACAUGUGAGCUUAACUUAUGUGGCUGAAAAAGUAUUUAAAAGGUUAUUAAGGGAUAAUAUUCAAAAAUUCCUUGAGAAGAACAUGGUUAUCAGCAAAAACAGCAUGGUUUUAUGAAGCACAGGUCAUAUCAAACUAACCUGAUUGCAUUACGAAGAAGUAAGUAGAAGUAUAGAGCAGGGUGUUGCAAUGGAUGUGGUCUAUUUGGAUUUUGCCAAGGCGUUUGAUACAGUUCCACAAAAUAGGUUAGUGUUCAAACUCCUAACCCUACUCCUUAACCAACCCUAACCCUACCCCUAACCCAACCCUACCCCUAAACCCUACUCCAAAUGCUAACCCUACUCCUAACCCUACCAGUAACACUACUCCUAACCCUACCCCAACAAGUCACUUUUCAGAAUUCCGAAGCACUUCGGCACUUCAGCAAUUCGGUUCGGCACUUCUGAAAUUUGGCACAUCGACACUUGGGAAAUUCGGCAUUCCAAAAUUCGGCACUUCGGCCAUUCAUAAGCAUCUGAAUGUCCGAAAUUCGGCCAAAUUUCAAUUCGGGCUGAACCGAAUUACACAUGUCUAGAAAUCAGCCUAUAUGUAAAUUCUUGCUUUUGGGUAGAACAUUGGCUUAAAAAUAGAAUACAGAGAUUUGUCAUAAAUGGUGCAUUUUUCAAGCUGGACAGAGGUGGCAUGUGGUGUCCCUCAGGGUUCUGUUUUGGGACUUCUUUUUAACAUGUUUAAAUGAUCUUAAAAAAAGCAUUGAAAGUCAUGUUUCAGUGUUUACAGAUGACACCAAACUCUGUAAAGUAAUGCAGAGGGAUUUGGAUAGAUUGGGGGACUGGGCACUAAAAUGGCAGAUGAAAUUUAACAUAGAGAAAUGCAAAGUACAAGCAACUUACACACUAAAUGGUAGUGAAUUAGGGAUAACCACAAACGAGAAGGAUUUGGGAAUUGUUAUAGAUAACAAAUUAGGCAGCAAUAUGCAAUGUCAAUCUGCAGUUGCUAAGGCCAAUAAGAUUUUUGUCAUGUAUAAAUAGGGGCAUAAAUUUUCGGGAUGAAAAUAAUACAAUGUGAGCAAGAUAUUACUUUGCUGCAGAGGGAUUUAGAUACACUGGGGGACUGGGCACUCAAAUGGCAGAUGAAAUUUAAUGUAGAAAAAUGCAAAGUUAUGCACUUCGGUGUCAAGAGUGCACAAGCAACGUUUACCCUUAAAGGAAGAAAAUUAGAGCUAACCACACACGAGAAGGACUUGUGCAAUGUCAAUCAGCAGUAGCUAAAGUCAGUAAGAUAUUGUCAUGCAUGAAAAAGGGUAUUACUUCUCGGGAUGAGAAUAUAAUUUUGCCUCUUUAUAAAUCACUGGUAAGACCACAUCUUGAAUAUGCUGUGCAAUUUUGGGCACCUGUUCUAAAGAAGGAUAUUAUGGCACUAGAAAGAGUGCAAAGGCGGCCCACAAAAUUAAUAAAAGGAAUGGAACAUUUUAGCUAUAAAGAAAGGUUAAAAAAAUGUAAACCUCUUCAGUUUAGAAAAAAGUCGCCUGAGAGGGGAUAUGAUAACAUUAUACAAAUAUAUUCUUGGGGUAGGGUGAGGUCCUCACUGGAGCAAAUAUGCAGGGUGCCAGGCAGAAAUAAGUAAAAUAAUUAAAGGAAAUGUGGCACAAAUUUAUGUAAAAAAAAAUAGCCAAUAUUCCUUUUAUUAACAAAAAAACUAAUUUAAAAAUUCGCCUGGCAAACAAAGGUUUAUAUAGGAAGUAACAUUCAUUGCAAUUUAGAAUUUUGAUGCCAAAAUGACGCCAUCAGAACGAGACGAUCAAAUAAAAUUUCAAUUGUAUAAAAACAUCUUUCACUAAUAUGUACUGUAAGGGCAUAUGGCAAAGAUGUGUAAAAUAUAAAUAACAAAACAAAGCUGUAAACUAGUUAAAAAGCUAGGCUGAAAGUGAAUCACAUGACGCGCAACUGCUGUUCCGCGUCAGGUGACUUGUGCUGUAAUUUAUGGGAAAUGUAGGCUGGCACUGUAGUGUGUGCUUCUAUAUUGAAAUCGUGCGCCGCGACGCAUCAUUGCACAUUGUGCUUGCACACUUACACAUGCGCCGCGGCACGUAUUUGUGCAUCACGCAUGCACCAGCACUGCAUGCGGUUGUGAUAUCAGCAAACUGAAUGCCCAUAUUAAGGGGGGUCCAGAGACUGGGACGUUACGUAUUUGGCCAAUGGAGGGUUUGGGAAAAUAUUAACAGCCAUAUUGUUGGAGACUUUUAGGAGUUGGAGAUAAGGUGAAAUACAAAUAGAAAAAUAAAUAAACAAACAGUGAAAAACUGUUUAAAGAGAAUUAACUAAUGAUAAUACUAUGACCAUAUUAGUUAAAAUCCCAAAUUGAGAGGGGAUUUUACAUUAACAAAAAAAGAAAAUAGUAAAAAUGUGUAAUAAAGAAACAAAAAUGAAAGUAUAUAUAAAAAUAAAAAUAAUAUAAAUUAAAAAAAAUAUAUAUAUAUAUAUAUAUAUAUAUAUAUAUAUAUAAAUAAACAUGAAAAAUAACAAUAAAAUAAAUGAAAUUAAAAGAAAAGAAAAGAUGGAUGUACAAAACAGAUCUGGAAAAUGACUCUGGGUUAGAUGUAUUAAUAUGAUUAACAUAAUUCUGAAGAUAUAUAUUAUAAAAAAUGUAAAAAGGUAGAAUUCAAAUUCUAUAUAAAGGCUUUCUGGGACAAGGGUUUUUAAAUUAAAUACCCAUUCCAUUUGUUUACUCCCUAAGAUUUUUUUGAUGUCACCACCUCUCUGUGGAAUUUUACAUUUAUGGAUACUGAUACACUUUAAGAGUUUCGGAUUUUUAUUGUGUGUGACAAAAUGUUUAGACACAGAGUGAUUUUCAUAGCCUUUGGUGAUGUUACGGCAGUGUUCAGCUAAUCUUAUUUUUAAACAUCUGGAGGCCAAAAGGUAUAUGAAUUUUUUUUGUAUUGCAUCCAAUGAAAUCAGUUUAGAUGUAUUUUAGAUGUAUAGUGCAUGGUUUGACUAUUUUGUGCAAUCAGGGUCAGUGCUGCACAACCCUUGUCAUGAGGAAUGAUCGUGUACAAGGAUUGAACAUUGCAGGUGACUAAAAUAUAAUUUGGUUGCCAAAUUAACGUAUUUAACCCCUUAAGUAAAAAGAACGUAUCAGGUAUAUCCGACAAGAAACGGUCCUUAAAGGACCACUCUAGGCACCCAGACCACUUCAGCUUAAUGAAGUGGUCUGGGUGCCAGGUCCUUCUAGGGUUAACCCAUUUUUUUUAUAAACAUAGCAGUUUCAGAGAAACUGCUAUGUUUAUGAAUGGGUUAAGCCUUCCCCUAAUCCUCUAGUGGCUGUCUCAUUGACAGCCACUAGAGGCGCUUGCGUGCUUCUCACUGUGAUUUUCACAGUGAGAGCACGCCAGCGUCCAUAGGAAAGCAUUGUAAAUGCUUUCCUAUGCGACCAGCUGAAUGCGCGCGCAGCUCUUGCCGCGCGUGCGCAUUCAGCCGACGGGGCGGAACGGAGGAGGAGAGAAGGAGGAGAGCUCUCCGCCCAGCGCUGGAAAAAGGUAAGUUUAAACCCCUUUCCCCUUUCCAGAGCCGGGCGGGAGGGGGACCCUGAGGGUGGGGGCACCCUCAGGGCACUGUAGUGCCAGGAAAACGAGUAUGUUUUCCUGGCACUAUAGUGGUCCUUUAAGGACCGUGGAUGUACCGGAUACGUCCACGGGGAAUUAGAGCGCCAGAAGCGAUCAGGAACACUUCCAGCAGCUCUAAUGGUAUUGCAGCGAUGCCUUGAUGUCUAGGCAUCGCUGCAAUACCCCCUCACUGCCGAUGGCUACCGGAGAACACCGGGUGAUCACUCCCCCCGGAGUGAUCACUUCUGGGUUGCUCCACAUGGAGCCCGGCAGUGACGCAGAGCAUCGGAAGACAUCAGUCUGGCUUCCGAUGCUCUGCCUAUGCUGAGUGCCUCGAGGGGUCGAAGCACUCAGUAAAUAUUUUUUUAAUUACAGAUUGCCACCGUUCCCCCGCCGGCGAUCUGUCUUCUUCUUAGGAGGGACUCUCUGGGCUGAGCCAAGAGAGUCCCCCCCUUUGCAAUUUAGGACCACAUGACCGCAAUAGGUGUCCGCAGUGCUGCCAGCAGGGGGGCUGCCGAACUAGACCCCUUGUAUUGGAAAAAAAUAAAAGGUAAUAAAUAAUAAUAAAAAAAUAAAUAUAUAUAUAUAUAUAUAUAUCUUAUAUAAAACGUCAUACUAAGUGUAUUUUUUAUUAAUAUAUACAUUAAACGUACACUUAGAGUAAAAUUACACACUUAUAUAUGUAAUAUAUAUAUAAGAACUAUAUAUAUUGUGUGUAUAUAUAUAUUUUUAAAAAUUAUUAAAAAUAAAUGAAAAGCUGUAAAAAUAAUUUAAAAAAAAUUAUAUAUAUGUAAUUUUAUUCUAACUGUAUUUUGAUAUAUAUAUAUAUAUAUAUAUAUAUAUAUAUAUAUAUAUAUAUAUAUAUAUAUAUCAAAAUACACUCCUGACACAAAAAUUGUCAUUAAGGACCGCAGACGUACCUAGUACGACCGCGGCAAAUAGGAGCCUUGGACUUACCCGGACCAGCGAUCACGGUCGGGGGGGACUGCCAGAGACCCCAGCAGUCCCCCUGCAGCAGCUCCGGCCACCCCGGUACUCCAGGGCCAUGUGAUCCCCAUGAUCACAUCGCCGCAAUAAGAGUCUAGGAGCUGCCGGGGAGCUCAGUCUGAGCUGUCAGACAGUCCCCAAGGCUGCUAAAAAAAAAAAACAACACACGAGGGUCGUGGCCACGGCACCGAUGAGACUGGCAGCUUGAGAGCCAAUCUCUGUCCGUGACAGAGGUUUAAUAAGCAAAACCUGGCGAUUAACUCAGCAAUGACGACAACAAAAACAACGCAACACUACGGGGACACCUCGACAUCCGAGAACCCCACAUCAAAGACCUCUCUGAGGAGAUUCUUCACAGAACACGCUGAACCGCAAACGCGCAGCAAAAUGGCGCCCGUGACUACCACACGAGGCAGUCAACCAUCCAGCCCGUCUGCCUCUGAGGACUCGGUAGAAGAUGCUGAUAUCAAAACAUUACUCACAGAACUGCCCUCGAAGAAAGACCUGGCUGACAUGUUCCAGAGACUGGAGAAUUCCUUCAGCGAAAAAUUACAAGCUGUAAAUGCAGACAUCCAGCAACUGGGAACCAGGGUACAGGCCCUAGAGGAUGCGGAGGAGCUCUCUGAAAGACAGUGGUCGGAGUGCCACACUACACAGAAGCUUCAUUCAGAAGCUUUAAUACAUCUGCAACGGAAACUGGACGAUGUGGAUAACCGGGGAAGGCGCAACAACUUGCGGGUAGGAAGAGUACCAGAAAGCCAGGAAGGCUCUACGGAAAACCCCAUACAGGUACUAACUACCCUCUUUAACCUCAUACUCGCUAGACCACCCGACACAGCGAUCCAAUUCGACAGGGCUCACAGAGCAGCACGGCCCAGAAACUCACCAUCGGACUGGCCCCGAGACCUUAUAUACCGCCUACACAACUUCCCCUUAAAAGAAGAAAUUUUCCACAAGGAAAGGCAGAAUAAGGACCUGAACCUUGAAGGCCAACCUGUAGCAGUAUAUCAGGAUCUCUCACCCACUACACUGCAGUCCAGAAGGGCGUUAAAACCCAUCACCACGGCACUCUUAGAGAAAAUAAUAAAAUUCAGCUGGAAUUACCCAUUUGCACUCUCAGUGGUGACCCUGAACGGACCGCACACCAUCACAACCCCAGCAGACAUUCCAAGCUUCCAACAGGCCCUGGGCCUACCCCUCACCGAAGUGGUAGAUUGGACAGGUCUAUCAUCUGGUGAUUACACUCAAAUGCAAAAAAGACCCAAAUGGCAGAGAACGCCGAGGAAGCGCAGACGGCAGAACCAAAUGGGAGCAGAAACACCCACUACACAGCAUGAACAGCCACACAUAUCCUUUGCUGUAUCUAAUUUAAAAGCUGAGGACUCUCACCACCUCAAGUUUUCUAGAUAAGUUUAAAAAUGUUUAGCUUAAAUAUUUAAACGAUGUUAUUGCCACAAAAUUAUUCUUGUUAUUUACCAACCGUCUCAUACAGCCCUCAAUAGUAUGAGUACAAGUAAUCGCUUAAGGUCAAAAGGGCAUAUGAAUGUGCGGGUCCGGGUAUAUUCAAAGGGAUACAGGGAUAGACCCAAGUACAGGGAAUUUUGAUUCAAGCCCCUGGUACCCCGAUUACCUUCUGUACCUCAAUCACGCACCCCUUGCCGCAGAAGAACUGUCACCAACCCCCACCAGAGAGGCGCUUACAACUACUUGGGGACACGACUGAGUCUCCCCUUCCCACCCUUCUCCCCAGAUACAAUCCCCGUAGCCCUGCACCAAUACCAUCGUUUCUCGAGUAAAAACGACUAUCUCUAUUAUGAUGGCAAAACUUAAAUGAAUGUCCCUGAACGUGAGGGGUCUAAACUCCACAGAGAAAAGAAGUACACUUACACAGGAAAUUGACAGGCAGAGAGCCAAUAUCAUAUUUAUCAAGGAAACGCACUACAGAGGCGAUUUCCAACCAAGGCUUAGAUCUCAAAAUAUCUAACAAUCAUACUAUAGUAACUAUAGCAACAGCAAAUCCAGAGGUGUGGCGAUAUUAGUAAAUUCCUGUGCAACCCUCAUUGAAACCAGUGUCAAGGUAGAUCCGGGAUUUUUAUUUGUUAAGGGGAAAUGACAGGGCUUAAUGAUCACUCUCGCAAACAUAUACACACCAAACUCAGACCAGGGCUCCUACGCCCGAACAUGUCUAACUAAACUAGAAAAGUUUGCGGAAGGAAUUGUGAUAGUGGGAGGUGACUGGAACAUGGUCCUCGACCACUCGAUGGACAGCUCCUCUAGUACUGCAGACAGCAGGCGCCAUCAGCGAACCAUUCUGGCAAAUGCGCUUCACUCCCAUCAAUUAAUGGACUGCUGGCGUCUGCUCCACCCGCAGGAUAGGGAUUAUACUUAUUAUUCCCCAGUGGUGAAAAGCUACUCAAGAAUUGAUAUGUUUCUCCUGAGCCACAGACACCUCCCCAUAAUGGAAGGGGCCAGCAUAGGUAACAUCACAUGGGCAGACCAUGCCCCUAUAUAUCUGACCAUAACUCUACGGGAUGCCCCCACACACACUUCACACUGGCGUCUCAAUGAGACCCUUCUAGGGUCCUAGAAGACAUGAAAAAGACUCUAAGUGACUAUUUCAUAGACAAUACCUCAGCAGACACAUCGGAUGCAUGGGUCUAGGAAGCUCAAAGGGGUCAUUAGAGGAGUCUUGAUAAAAUGGGGCUCUAGGAUUAAGAAGAAAGAACACUCAAACCGGACACCUUAUCGAACGCAAUACGAGCAAGAAACACUACACAAGAACAACCCUACCCAAAAUGCCUUUCAAAAGCUAAUGGCCCUUAGAAUGGAGAUUCGUUCUCUCCUGUCACUAAAAGCACAUAGAUCGCUCCAAGAAGCUCAUUUUAUACAUAUGGGAACAAGAGCGGGAAAUUACUGGCCCGUGCCUUGAAGGCCAAACUCAAAAAAUCAUUUAUAGCUGUAAGCAUAUGAAAUAGUUAACUUUUCUUGUUCAUAUGUAUUUUAUGCUUAGAUAAGGUUUAUAAUCAUUAGUGCUGACUGUAAGGACAUGAAAUGGUUAACUAUUUUUGCUUUAUAUGCUUUAAAAUAUUGUUUGAAAUAAUUAUGCUGACUUUGGCAGAUGUAUUUUGUACCAAGGUCUUUCGUCUACAGGAUGUAUGACAUUGCUUAACCUCAGGAUGUUCCUGUCCUGUCUUUAUUCAAAUGCUUAUCUUUUUAAUGUCAGACAAGUAUGUACUAUUAACUAUAAAGAAACGAUAAAUCUCACUGCUUGCGUGACAAAUUGUGUAUAAAUGCUAGCCCUGAAAAUACACUCAUUGAGAACUUGUUAAGCACUCUUUCGUGUCUGUGUCUUAAUUUGCUCACAAGAACUCCCAUCAAUUGAUGUGGUGACCGGAGGAUCGAGAAUCGAGAGGAGUUGAGUCCAGAACAGCAUUAACCCUUUCAGCUUGGUGUCAUGAAGUGGGAUCAGCAAAACCAUUGGGUAAGUAGUCUUUUUGUGUCUUAUUGACGCUGAUUGUCUAUGACCCCCUUUGGUUCAGUAAGUCUGUAUCCAGUAGAAAGGAAAGGUGUAAGGACUUUAUUGAGACUGUAAAUAGGUCUCCGGUUUAUUAGACAAUUGGUCUAAAUAUAUAUAGGGUUUUGGUAACCCAGGUUAGUAUCUAAGAUAGAUACAGGGUAUCUCAGCUGGAUACAGGGUAUAUCAGCUGGAUACAGGUUUUGAGACCAUAAGAGUUCUCCGGUUUAGUAAGACUAUAGGUGUUCUGAGGAGCAUGGUUUAUAGAUCUAUAAGUAUACCCCAAACUUCUCUUUCUCCUGGUCACCUUUGUUUGUCUUAAGUGUUCUUUGUGGGUGAUUGUCUAUAUUGGGGACACACUUUGGUAAGUUAGUAGUGUGUCUGCCCUGAGUCAGCAGUAUGGAAAAUGUGAGUUCAGGUCCUGAGUGACCAAUAUAUAUAUAUAUAUAUAUAUAUAUAUAUAUAUAUAUAAUACCAGUACUGUAUAUUAGAAAAUAACUGACUCACAGGUUGUACCUGAUAGACCUACUUAAAUCUUUUGCUUUAUUCUUUGUCGCAUAGAAGUAUAGUUUAUUACUCUGUUUUAUUGCAAGUUAUUUCACAUGGGAUAUGUGUGCCUGGUAUGAUUGUUACUUUAAUACCAUAAGCCCACUACACUUUCUAUGAGAGUGGGAUAGUGUAAAUGUGUUACAUUGUUUGCAUGAUGAGCUCAGUAUUUUUAUAACUGAGACAAAAAGUCACUUCAUUAGUAUUUGAAAGUUAAUUCCCUGUAUGAAACAUAGAAACAUAGAAUGUGACGGCAGAUAAGAACCAUUCGGCCCAUCUAGUCUGCCCAAUUUUCUAAAUACUUUCAUUAGUCCCUAGUCUUAUCUUAUAGUUAGGAUAGCCUUAUGCCUAUCCCACGCAUGCAUAAACUCCUUUACUGUGUUAACCUCUACCACUUCAGCUGGAAGGCUAUUCCAUGCAUCCACUACCCUCUCGGGUAAAGUAAUACUUCCUGAUAUUAUUUUUAAACCUUUGUCCCUCUAAUUUAAGACUAUGUCCUCUUGUUGUGGUAGUUUUUCUUCUUUUAAAUAUAGUCUCCUUUACUGUGUUGAUUCACUUUAUAUAUUUAAAUGUUUCUAUCAUAUUCCCCGUGUCUCGUCUUUCCUCCAAGCUAUACAUGUUAAGAUCCUUUAACCUUUCCUGGUAAGUUUUAUCCCGCAAUCCAUGAACCAGUUUAGUAGCCCUUCUCUGAACCCUCUCUAAGGUAUGGGAUUAAUUGUAUAGAACACCAAUCAGCACAUCUUCCCUGCCCUGUGUGUUUGUUGCAGAGGAUCCAUACUGUAAAUAUGAUUUUUGUUUGUAAAUAAGAGAGCAACAUUUACAUUUUCAGUGGUCCAACACAUGCUUCAUUUUGUGCUGUAAGCUAACCUUUUUUAUUGCUACAGAUGCUUUAAAUGAUCCAGCUAUUGCAUAUGUUUUGUGUCUUCUAUGUCUCACAUUAUAUGUGAUCUUUUAAAUUGUGGUCUAUAGCCUGAAUCAGAGAUCAUGGACAAAGGUUUCUACCUGUGUUACUAAGGCUCUUGGAGACUGACCGGUCUAAGGUUUGCCAUGCCUUUUAACAUGGUAUAGUAUACAUUUUUUAAGUCUCUGAGAGUUCUGAAAGAUUCGGGUGAAACCAUGUCUGUGUAAUCUGGUCCAGAUGUUUGCACAAUUUCUGUAAGAUUUAAAAUUGAUGCAGCAUCAUCUCAGAUUAGUUAAUGGAAAUUUCAUACAAAUAUUUGAGUUAUGAGCGCGCUAUAUAAAUGGAUCCUUUCUUUAUAUACAGUACUAUAGUAGAUUAAAGUAAUGAUGUUAAUUAAGAAAAAAACAUGUAUGCAUAAGAAUUCCUAAAAUAAAUCUAAUACAAACUAAAAUUGGUAUACCUUACAAUAAUAUGUUCUGAGUACAGCUGUUAACUGUUUAUUCUGUGUAAAUGGUGAUUGUGAUAAUGUGUGAAGUGUGCAGCUUAAAUUUAUAUGUUGCUGUGUUGUUUUAAAUUAUAUUUGAAUCAGUUUGUCUGAGUCUAGUGAUACUGAUACAAAUGCCAGUCAAAUAACCUAGCAAAUAACUGUUUUAUUAGCUGUUGAAUACUAGCGUUUUGGCCAAGAGUAGUUGGAGUUGGAGUAGUUCUAUGAGCUCAGAGAGGCUCUAUGUUAAGACUGCUUUCAUAUUGUGUCUACCCGUGUUUCUUAGGAGGGACACAGAGUGUGUAGUUGCAUGUCCAAGAAUGUGUUUUUCUGUAUUGGCAUAUCUGCUACGUCUGUUUUGUGAGAUGUCUGUUUUGUGAGAUGACAUGUAAUAUUACAUUGGAUGCUGAGUAUGAGUUAUAUGGUUUGAAAUGAAUUGGUGUGUUAUGUGUUUCAUGUAUUUUAUUGUCCAUUGUGUAGGAGUUUAACUAGCAGGGUGAUUUGCAUAUCAUUAACGCAAGCAUUUAGUGUUUUUACAAAAGGUGAAAUGCUGUCCAGCCGGCUAGAAUGAAACAAUUGUGUGCUAUCGCUCCUGGAGCAAGAAAAGCGCUUGUUACAUCCCACAUGAAAGGGGCCCCGCAAACUUCUGCUGUUCAAAUUGUGGAUCCACGUUUCCAUUUGCAAACUGAUUAAUCCUGAAAGUCAUUAUUUUACUGAUAAAAAGGAUUGAAUGGACAAGAUGUCUCUCCCUCAUAAAGGUGUUCUAAUAGGGGAGUAUUGUCCAGCUCAGAGUUAACUCUACUUUUAAAGUAUAUCGCAUUGUUUGUGUCAAAGUAAGAUGCAUCUAGUAUGCCUCAUUGGUUAUGGGGUAAUAAUAAAAUGGUAUUUUUAAUAGAGAUUAGAAAAUUUCUGAAAUUUAUAAGUGAGGUAAUCUUAAUCUCCUAAAACUACUGUAUUAUAUUUGUAUGGGUAAAUUGAAAGCAUUUUGCAGAUCCAGAAGAGGAUAAAUAAAUAAUAUAAUAAUCUCACUAGGUGCCAAAUUAUGCAAAGAGGCUAUCCAAAGUACGCACUAACGGGUUAACUUGUUUUCUUGAUAAGCGUAUAACAUUUAGUUUUGUGGUUAGACUUUUGAUACUCAAUUUGAAAUAUGUCCCAACUACAUCCUUGCACAGCCCCAGGUACAGGAAGCAAUGUGUUUUAAAAAUUUGCAAAGUCUUAGUGUUUUCAAUAUAUUAUAAUAAUGGAAAAGUACCUAACCGCAUGUCUGCAUUAUGCUCAUGACACAGACUGUCAGUAUUGCAAGCCCUAUAUGAAGGCUAUGCUUUCAUUGUCAAUGUAAACACCCCUAGACAACCUUGCUUUAUAUGCACAAUUUAACUAUCCAUUAAAGUUUAAAAGCUUAUUAAUAUUAUAUCUGUGUGGUACACAAAGAGGGGGUGUGAGUUCGGUAAUCCCGACAUGCAUAUGGAAUAUGCUUCCUCCUUGUUCACUUUUGUUCCUUGCUGGUCUGUGACUGGCCCUUUUUGACCCCAAAUGAAUUUCUUGGGAAGAUUCAUGAGAAAGAUACAGCAAGUUGUUUUGAUAGAAAGAAAGAAUGAAAAGGUAUGAUGUAUCAGUCACAAGGACUGUGAUCCUAAGCAGGCGCGACAAAGAGAUUUGGGAGGUGAUAGGAGAUUGAAUCAGAAAAAUUUUAAAGGCAAAGGUAGAGGAUUUGGUCAAAGGGUCUAACUUUUGUAGAGGUAGCAACUUCAGCAUUGGUGGAACGCACAGUUCUAAUUGUGGAUAGCAGGGUCACUGGAUAAAUGAGUGCCCAAACCCACCCCCACAGAUUCCUCAAUACCAACCACAGCCAACAAUCCCAGCCUAAUACACAGAUGGUUCAUGUUUUUAAUAUUUUAUAUAGUUUUAGGUGUUAAUCUAAAAGUAUUGAAUUAUUUGGGAUUAUUAGUAAUUAAUUUUGAGUAUCAAAUCAAGAUUCAAGUUUAGGAAGAGAGUUUUAUUGGGAAUGUAUAUGUAUAUGUUAGUGUUUUAAUAUUCAUCCUAACAAGCAUUUCUAUAGCGUGAGUGCUUCUCUCAUCCGUACAAAGGCAUUCCAAAGGGAUAUUAUGUAAAACUUCAUAGAAGACAGAUUGCAUAAAAUAUAAGCAAAUAAAAGAGAAGUACAUGUUACACAAGUUAAGGGUUUAACCUUAAUCUCUAAUUUAAGUUUUAGCCUAGGUAAUUAAUUAAUUGAUGUUGUAUUGAUCAUUGUGUUUGUAUGAUUGUAGAGACCGUCCUGGAGUGUUUGUGCCGCCUGAUUUCUGGAACUACACAUCAAUCUCUCCGGCUGACCAUGCAAUAAGUAUUUUGCAAUUACAUCUGUUUGGUCAUUAUCCAUGCAGGCCGAAGAAACUGAGAUACUUAUGAAGACAUAAACUUUGCACACAAGAACCUGGAAAGUCCUGAAGGUGCAGUGCUGUCUAAUACCGCUGGUUCUGUAAUAACUCUUUCAACCAUUGGGGUAUUGCACAGAGCAUUGUGGUGAAAAUCCAGCAAACAGAAGAAGAACUAUGUGGAAGCUGACAUUGUCUUGUUGUCAGCCAUAUUGCUACCCUAGCCAUUUUAUGGAACAAAAUGUCUGGUGUCUAAACUGAUUUCUUUAUACUCUGUGAAAGAUUUAAUUUAUUUUUCUGAACUAUGCUGAACUAUUGAACUAUUUUUAUUUUUACUUAUGUAGAGUUAACCGGAGGGAGAGGAAGUGUUAGCUGACCCAGGGAUGGAUGUACUAUGUGUGUUUUUGAUAUAUGUUGAGUGUGCCAAGGAUGGAUUCCCAUGUUUUGAGGAACUGUGUGAGGAUAUGACUGGUUUUGACUGGUCCUUUGGAAUAGGGAAAUGGUUAAAAAAUAUAGGGCGCAAGGUCCUGGUUGUGAUUAUUGUUAGAAUUUCAAGCUAGAUUAUCAUUUAUCUCAUGAAUUAAUAUGUAAGAAGUGUUUCCCAAUUCCUCCCGAUACCCAAGCUAUGUACUCACAGGUGCGGGUAUCAUAAGUCACAAGUGGUGUCAACUGUGAGGGGAUCGCGGCCCCCACUGUGUUUUUUCUUCAAAUAUUAGUUUUUUGCCAGGCCCCAGAUCAUUGGAUGGACUGGUAAUCCUAGACCCCGGUGCCUGGACGUGGGAUAGGUAUUAUUCCCACUUUGACUAUAUGCGCCCACUUCCAUGGACGAAGGAGGAAAACAACUGUUGGGAAUAAUACAAUUUGCCCAUAUUUACCCAGGGCUUAGGAUACAGAUGACAGGUUGGUUAGUCUGUUUAAAAUUGGUUAACAUGUCAGCUGUUUGCAAUAAUACAUUUGCUAUAAGCCCAAAUUCAAUCUUUUGUGUCUGUGUCUUAAUUUGCUAACAAGAACUCCCAUCAAUUGAUGUGGUGACCGGAGGAUCGAGAAUCAAGGGGAGUUGAGUCCAGAACAGCAUUUACCCUUUCAAUAGCUAGAAUUAAAACUAAAAUGGGGACACACUGCCACACCACCAAAGACAUAGCGGAAGCAUUCCACGACUUCUAUCACACCCUUUAUAAUCUUGCCCCCCCAGAGGGAAUACCCUAUGAUAUACAAAACUAUUUAACUGCACACAUAGCCUCCAAGCACUGGAGGAGCCAUUCUCUCCUGCGGAGCUGUCCCUUGCCAUCAAAACAAUGCCAAAAGGCAAAAGCCCAGGCCCAGACGGUCUAACUGCACGAUACUACCAAACUCUAGCUGGGGAACAACACUUUCUUAAAAUGAUUAAUGGGAUGGGACCGAACUCCUCACUGCCUCCACCGAUGCUGAGAGCAUCGAUCACCAUCAUCCCCAAACCUGGGAAAGACCCUGAGGUUUGCGGCAAUUACAGACCCAUCUCCCUUAUUAAUUUGGACCUCAAACUCAUAGCCAAAUUAAUUGCCAACCAUAUCAAACCUCUACUUCCACAACUGGUCCACCCUGAAAAAGCAGGCUUUAUGCCCGGGCGCGAAGCCAGGGACAACACCGUGUAAUACACGGAGCAAACGCGACUAACACGCCGACUCUGCUGUUGGGUAUAGAUGCAGAAAAGGCCUUUGACAGGGUGGAGUGGACAUAUCUUUUUAAAGUGAAAGAAGGGCUAGGAUUUGGACCAAAACUGAGAAAUUGGAUACAGACCCUACAUAGAGGGCCAACAGCCAGGGUUGGAGUGAACGGACAACUGUCCACCCCCUUCCCAAUAAGUAACGGGACCUGGGAGGGCUGCCCGCUGUCGCCUCUUUUGUUUGUACUAGCAGUAGAGCCCUUUCUGACAGCCAUCUGUAACAACCCCAGAAUCCAUGGAUACCAGUACCCCGGGGAAGAGAUGAAGGUCUCCGCAUUUGCGGACAAUAUUCUUUUUUCCAUCACAGACCCGAUGAACACUCUCCCACAGGUACAGUCAGAAAUAGAAACAUGCGGGGCCUUAUCUAACUUCAAAAUCAAUUCCGACAAAUGUGAGAUCUUAGGGAUUUCUGUACCCCAGCGCAUGCAAACCCGCAUUCGACAAAAUUAUAAAUACACAAGGACGAAAACAGGACUAACAUAUAUAGGAAUACGCCUUACAUCAACACAAAAAGGUUUAUAUACACUUAACUACCCUCCUCUAGGAGAUAACAUUAAACAAGAUCUCAAAAAAUGGGAUAUGCCCCAUUUCUUCCUGAUGGGUCGCAUCAAUAUAAUAAAGAUGAUGAUCUUGCCAAGGGUUCUGUAUAUCUUCCAGGCCCUCCCUAUCCCUCUCACACGAGAAUUAUUCAUAAUAUCCUCAGGGUAUGGAGAAGACAUAAAAAGGAAUGGAAUCUUUCCCCGGGUAUCUCCCCAGCUAAUCCAGACUUUCAGAAUGGCAACGGUCACACCACAUUAUCCCACCACAUUAUCCCGGCUACUGGGACCCCUAAUCCCGAUAUCAGGGCACUUAUAACAGGGGAUCCGACCCCCAAACUUAAAGCACUCCCCAACUCAAUAGACAAGAGACACUCCUAGACAUCAUGGGAAGGGUCCAAUUGUCCAACUACCUGAUGCAGUCGAUCCUCCCCUUGUGGUGUGAGAGAGACACCAUGUGAACGCAUGAGCACCCAGGGAAACAAAACUAGACGCUCACUCUCGGCCAUAUACCGCAUUCUCAAUGCAGAGACAGGGAAUCAAUCCAGACCCACAUUCCAAAGUAGAUGGAUGAGAGGCCUUCGCAUACAUAUGACGGAGGAAGACUGGGCUCAGAUUAUGAUCUCGGGGACUAAAACCCAGAUUAGCAUAGCACGAAAAGAAACCUUUUAUAAGAGAGUCACUAGGUGGUACAGAACACCGGUACAACUACACUCAUACUGGCCCGCAGUCAGUGACAAAUGCUGGAAGUGUGGAGAAGAACAGGGUGACAUGGAGCACAUCUGGUGGAACUGUAGGGCAAUAACACCAUUCUGGACGCAAAUACUAGAUGAGAUCACUAAAAUCCUUACCCUGCAGACUCACUUGACACCAUCCCAAGCUCUUCUGGGCUGGCCUCGAUCAUUCAAGGAGAAAUGCAAACAGCAAUUCCUGUCCUUACUUUUGGGAGAAGCAAAUGCCCUGAUACUUAGGUAUUGGCGAGGUACCGACAUACCAACUAGAGAACAAUGGGUCCACCAAGUAGAAAAAAUUUGAGAAUUGGAGGAGAUGCACUGGUCGACCCUAGGGAACAGAGGCAGGUACCUUAAGAUCUGGGAGCCAUGGCUCCCGUAUUGGGGUAACACCCCUAAGACUUUAGUCUGCACCUCACAACAAGGGGGACAGUAGAAAUGUACACAAUGCCUCAUGAAGCUAUCUGAACCCCAACAGGUAUUAGACUCAUCAUAACAGACUUUAAAGCAGCAGGACACCCCCCCUCAAAUCCCUCCCCUCCCUCUUUUGAACACUAACCUAACCACACUUUUGAAUUACUAAGCCACCUACACAACAGCGGAACUCCGAGCAUUGGUUAAAGAGUCAAGUGGGGUAGACCAUGUGAUAUGUUAGUGAUUCCCAAAGUAUUGUUACAAUGUCUCCCACCUUGUUUUUUCUGUAUCCCC
rnacentral:lncRNA from 1 species